rnacentral:rRNA from 1 species
UACGUAGGGUGCAAGCGUUGUCCGGAAUUAUUGGGCGUAAAGAGCUCGUAGGCGGUCUGUUACGUCGGCUGUGAAAACCUGGGGCUCAACUCCGGGCCUGCAGCCGAUACGGGCAGACUAGAGUUCGGCAGGGGAGACUGGAAUUCCUGGUGUAGCGGUGAAAUGCGCAGAUAUCAGGAGGGACACCGGUGGCGAAGGCGGGUCUCUGGGCCGAAACUGACGCUGAGGAGCGAAAGCGUGGGGAGCGAACAGG